rnacentral:rRNA from 1 species
AGUGAACGCUGGCGGUAGGCCUAACACAUGCAAGUCGAACGGCAGCACAGUAAGAGCUUGCUCUUACGGGUGGCGAGUGGCGGACGGGUGAGGAAUACAUCGGAAUCUACUUUUUCGUGGGGGAUAACGUAGGGAAACUUACGCUAAUACCGCAUACGACCUACGGGUGAAAGCAGGGGAUCUUCGGACCUUGCGCGAUUGACUGAGCCGAUGUCGGAUUAGCUAGUUGGCGGGGUAAAGGCCCACCAAGGCGACGAUCCGUAGCUGGUCUGAGAGGAUGAGCAGCCACACUGGAACUGAGACACGGUCCAGACUCCUACGGGAGGCAGCAGUGGGGAAUAUUGGACAAUGGGCGCAAGCCUGAUCCAGCCAUACCGCGUGGGUGAAGAAGGCCUUCGGGUUGUAAAGCCCUUUUGUUGGGAAAGAAAAGCAGCAGGUUAAUACCGCGCUGUUCUGACGGUACCCAAAGAAUAAGCACCGGCUAACUUCGUG